UCAGUGGCUCCGCGUGAAAGGCUCGAUGCUUUACUUCAUGUCAGUUACUGACUGCUGAGGAAGAAUCGGGGGGCAGACUCCUCCUCGUCCCCCUCAACCCGUGUUGUGCGGUGCCCCUUCCAGAACAUGCUUAUUGGCCGAUACCCAAAAGGACAAACCUGCAUAUCUCAGCCCUGCACAGAGUAGUCGGUAUAGUGGUGAUACACUGGCAUUUAUCUCACACACACAAAGAGUAGCAUCUGUAUAGACGUGAUACACUGGCCAUUUAUCAUACACACAUACAGAGUAGCAGUAUAGACGUGAUACACUGGCAUUUAUCACACACACAGAGUAGUGUCUGUAUAGACGUGAUACACUGGCAUUUAUCACACACAUGCGCGUACACACACCCCUGAAAGGCAGCACUCACUCUAGUCAAGAAACACAACAUCAUCUGGA